rnacentral:lncRNA from 1 species
UGCAGCCUGGAAAGAAGACAAUUACAUAGACAUGACAUUUCACUGACAUUGAACACGGUCACGGUCGAAUUAAACGUUUUAUUUGGAUCAAGAUAAAAGACUCGUCGAAGAGACGGAGAAAUCUCUUCUUCUUUCGCGACAGCAUUCCCGGCAUUACUAUUAAUGGCUAUUCGUUUAUGGAAUAUCACUUUCGAACUGGCCGUCGAUAAUCAAGCAAUACGUUCAUCGACAAUGACCGGCAUUUUACAGUUUCGCCUUUGCUGUUCUCGAUUUCUUUCGUAUCUAGUGAACGGUACCGGCAUAACAGAUAUUGCCUUAUACACCGAAUAAACACCCCAUAUUUUUGCGGAUGAUAAAAAGCAAAUGAACAGGUCACGGUUGUCCUGAAAUAACAAGAAGUUAUGCCAAUCCCUGAGAUAUCGUCUGGAGCAUUCAGUGUUCGUCCAAUCGGUAAAUGGCAAUCGAUUCUUUCAAGGAUCUUGAAGACGCUCCCAACGAUCGGUCGAUCACCAUUCGUCGAUCGUGACACUCACUACUUACUCCAGAUACGAUGGGAUGUCACCGUUGUCUAACCGAACGCACCCCUUCCGAGAACAAUCAAACGGCGCUUACGAUCGCCACCAAAGAUAAAUUAUACCGUAGCCGAGAGUUAUUUGAAUAGAAACUGACCGCGCAUCCCGGGCGAAUCCUCAUAUUUUCUCGCAAUGCCGCCCGUCGGGCUCGGGCUGCUUACUCUUGUUCCCUAAGUGCAGGAAAACUGCUAUCGUCGGAGAUGGUUCGCGAUGUGCUGGGCCAGCUGUUGCGAAGGUGGUGGUAAAGUCGUCCUGGUGGAGGAGGCAUUUCGCGUUGCUGGAGGAAAGGAACUCACGAUGGUGGUGGGUUCCAACGGACACGGGUUACGGAAAGCUCGAAUCUCGUGUAGCGAUGGGCCCGAUCUCCUACUUGUUCAUUCUAUCUGAACUAGAAGUAAUGAUAUCUACAUGGCAGUGAAAUUUUAUGAAGGAUGACCGAAUUAAGAGACUACAUUCAAAACCAUAGUACAUAUUUAACGUGUAUCAUGAAAUCUGAAGAGCAUUUUUAAUUAUAAGGAAUUCUGUAUGUCUUUACAGAAUUGUAAAGGAUUAUAAAAGGAGGAGAAGAGUAUCCGUGGUAUUAAUCUCUACAUCGUAUCAAUAGGAAAUUGAUCCCAUCGCUACGUCCAUUCUCCUUCCUCCUCGCCUUUGUCCACCUCCUACGAACCUGGCGAUCUUACUUCGUGCCACAGUGGGCCCAUCGUUCCGGAGAAAGUGAUCGG